rnacentral:rRNA from 2 species
UGGCUCAGGAUGAACGCUAGCUACAGGCUUAACACAUGCAAGUCGAGGGGAAACGACAUCGAAAGCUUGCUUUUGAUGGGCGUCGACCGGCGCACGGGUGAGUAACGCGUAUCCAACCUGCCCACCACUUGGGGAUAACCUUGCGAAAGUAAGACUAAUACCCAAUGAUAUCUCUAGAAGACAUCUGAAAGGGAUUAAAGAUUUAUCGGUGAUGGAUGGGGAUGCGUCUGAUUAGCUUGUUGGCGGGGUAACGGCCCACCAAGGCUACGAUCAGUAGGGGUUCUGAGAGGAAGGUCCCCCACAUUGGAACUGAGACACGGUCCAAACUCCUACGGGAGGCAGCAGUGAGGAAUAUUGGUCAAUGGACGAGAGUCUGAACCAGCCAAGUAGCGUGCAGGAUGACGGCCCUAUGGGUUGUAAACUGCUUUUAUAAGGGAAUAAAGUGAGUCUCGUGAGACUUUUUGCAUGUACCUUAUGAAUAAGGACCGGCUAAUUCCGUGCCAGCAGCCGCGGUAAUACGGAAGGUCCGGGCGUUAUCCGGAUUUAUUGAGUUUAAAGGGAGCGUAGGCCGGAGAUUAAGCGUGUUGUGAAAUGUAGAUGCUCAACAUCUGCACUGCAGCGCGAACUGGUUUCCUUGAGUACGCACAAAGUGGGCGGAAUUCGUGGUGUAGCGGUGAAAUGCUUAGAUAUCACGAAGAACUCCGAUUGCGAAGGCAGCUCACUGGAGCGCAACUGACGCUGAAGCCCGAAAGUGCGGGUAUCGAACAGGAUUAGAUACCCUGGUAGUCCGCACGGUAAACGAUGGAUGCCCGCUGUUGGUCUGAAUAGGUCAGCGGCCAAGCGAAAGCAUUAAGCAUCCCACCUGGGGAGUACGCCGGCAACGGUGCAACUCAAAUGAAUUGACGGA